AUGUCUUUCACUGAUUUUGUUUUCUUUGACUAUAAGGACUGCCAGAGGAUCUUAUUGUUUGAGGCCUUUCACCAGGGUUCCAAUGAUGCUCUUACUCUGUGCCAGAAACUAUGGUGGACUAACAAACUAUGCUCAGCUGCAAUUGUAAUUUGGAGAGGAUUUCAUUCAAUGAUCAAAAGAACCACGCAUGCAUCCAUACCUUUGCCUGGAUCUCUCCCACUGUUAUAAUGAGCGUAAGUCCCACACAUUUCUCAUGCAGUUAGACAGAUGUGGUCAUGUUUUGUUUCUUCUCUUUCUUAAAUUCCAAUCCAGCUCUUAUCUCUGCAUUUGAUUUUCCAUGUAUUCAAGCUCAAAGCUUUCUCUUUCAAUUUUAUUGAACAUUAGUAUUCUCUGAUUCAAGGAAAAAGUUGCAGGAAACCAUAUCAGUCAAUCACUUUAUAGAACUAAAACUGAAAUUACUUAAAUUUGUUGGGAAAAUAGUUGUCAAGCCACAGAAAAGAGGCACUAGGAUCAACUAUGGAUUUACCUACCUUCCUGACAAUCUCUGAGGCCAUCUUCAGGAAUAGAUUAAAAUUUUCUGUGACUUCUUUUCUAUUUACCAGCAUCUGCUGGGAUUUCUUCCACUCUCACUUUUUAUUCUUUCCUUUGCUCUUUUAACCUUAACAGUUUUACACAUAUAUUUCAUAUACAUUAAUCCAUGUCUGGGUAAUUAUUGUCUUCACUCUAUACAGGUGUGAAUAGCUUGGAAAUGAGUACCAGCAUGGAUCGUGAGAGUCACUGAACCAGUGUAUUUGCUUGGCUCAGCUGACUGUUCCUGUGCACAAAUUUCAGGUGGUUAACACUACAGAGGCUCGUUUCUCGCUCAUGUAAUACAUCAAUACUGGUGUUUGGUGGUGAUUUGAGGAGUGUGGCUUCAUCCAUCUGUGACUUCAUAAUACCCCAAGGUCUUAUAUUUCUCUUAUGCAUCUCUGUAUCCAGCUGGAAACAGGAGAAAAAGAGAACAUGGAUAUUUCUGCAGGAGCAUUUAGGGGACAAAUCUGGAGUUGGUGGCAGGGCCCCCUUUCCCACUCCAUUAGCCAAGGCUCAACCCGCCAGGUAAACAGAAGGGAAGACAGGAUAAGCAAUAGAGUUUGAGCCCCCUGAAAAAGUAAAACAUAUUUGAUGAACACUAAUCAGCCUCUGCCAUAGUCUGGUUACUCAUCGCUGUAACAAAAAAUACAUGUAUCUCCUCUAAGAGAGCCAACUGAAAACCCAUUUAAUUAUUGUAUCCAGUUAAAAUUUCAAAUCUUCAAAGAAUACAUAAUUCUCAGUAAUUCCUCAUGGUGCAGUGAUGGAUACACUAAAGAGACAUUAAUUGGCAUCCACACCCACCCAGCUGCCACCCGCACCCACACCCACCUGACAUCCCAUGGGGAAAUAGCUCAGCAAGCUUAUUCACAAAGAUGAAGAAUACAAAAACAACAUAGAGAUUGGCCUGUACCAUUUCUGAAAUCCUGCCCUGUCACCUUCGGGGGUUUUCUACUCACAGGAUACAAAAAUUUUAUUGUUUAGAUCACAUUCUUUAAGAGAUUUUUCACUGACUUAUAGUGGUCCUUAGCAUUCUCCUCAGGCAGGUUCUUCAUUUUCCAUUUUGAUCCAUGGCUAACAAUGGCCUAGAAAAUCCUGGCAUAUAGUGUCUGUCUUUAUAUGUUAUCCACAACCCACCUUCUAGUCUUCAAAGCAUCAUGCAGCUCUUGUCAGGGUCUAUAAAGUUGGCUAUCUUAGAAAUCUGAUUUAUUAACUCUGACAUUUUUGGAAUUUAAGGAUCAUUUUGUUGGAAUAAUCAGAUAAUUUUUGAGAGAGUAGAAGCCUAAGUUCAUGGUUUCUUUGAAAUAUAACUCAAAGAAAAAUAUAGGAUUGUGUUAUGCCAACUAGCUUGGAUACCAGUAGCUUCACCUAGUUUAAUUUUCUGAAUACAAUCCUCCUGUUAUUUAGACAAAGAUAAUACUAUCUCAUGGGCAUUGGAAAACUCAUCCUGGAUGCUCAAAAACAUAAGAAAUUUAGUGAAAUACUUGGCUUUUUCUUUAAACUGAGAACAUUUUGGGCUAUUUGGAAUUCAGUCUUAUUCAGUCUAUUUAUUUUAGUCUUACAUCUUGCAGUUGGGCUUCCAGAUACAAUAUAAUUGUAAUUUCCAAACUUUGAGACUCUUGAUCUGAAGACUUCCAGCAUUUUCCCAAUAUAUUGUGAAACAUGCCAAAAUUCUCACCUGACAAUUUUGUCAUAUUAUACUCUAACAAGAAAGCUAACAAACAUCAACCCACAAGGUAAGCUUUACUCUUUUCGUAUAUUUAUCUUACAACUGUAGGCUCAGUAGCCAUGUUCACUACAAGUCAUCUUCAUCAGCAGAUAUCUGUAUUUCCUGAUGGUUGCUACCCCAAAUCACACUGAUGCUGUACAUUUUAGAUUUUUACUACAGACUAUUCCAUUUGAUAGUAAUAAUUUCAAUGUUAGAGUAGGCAAUAACAAGGUCAAAUUUUAUAUGAUAUUACAGAAUAAAAUUUCAUUCUUGUGGACAGAACAGUUCUUGUGUUUGUUUAUUGAAGAUCCUAUAAUCUGAUCACUUACAGGCUGUUCUUGUGGAUUUUCAGCUCAUUGGGAUUCUUGAAACUAGCCUACAAGGAGAAACAAUGAUAUGACAGUUUUAUUGUGGGAUCUAUAAAUAUCUUUCACACAACUUACAUUCAGUUGUUAGGAACUAAAUCACAUGCCUUCAAAGUAAUGAGAAAGAUGGUCCAUUAAAGAGUAUGAUAAACCUAGAGAGAGUAGACAUUGGUGAACAGUGAGCUAGUCACUGUCAUCAUAAGUAUGUAGAGGAGAAUUGUGUAGAUUGGUCUUUGAUAAUGAAUUUCACAAUUUCUUAUGUCCUUUCAAAAUUUUGUUCUAAAUUCAAUACCAUUGUUAUGGUUUGUGUCCAGAUGUCAAGUGGUAAUACUUUCGAGGUGGUUGAAUCUAGUGUCUGGUUGAUUCAUGUUGAGGCUAGGCCCAAGGGCACUAGGAUUAAGGGCAUGAGCCCUACAUUGUCUGAGUAAGAUAAAAGGAGUAAGGAGAGGAAUUUACAGUCUCAUUGUUUUUGCUGCCUUGUGCCACCAUGAACUGUUGCCCCUCUGCUACCCUGCCAUGGGGCCAGCCAAUUAUGGGCUAAAAUAUCUAUGAACUUUGAGCUAUAUAAACUGUUUCCCCUUUAACUUUGAGUGUUGGGUAUUUUGUCUCAGCAAGGAGAGAAAAGACAUUCAUCAAGUCUUUUAUUUAUUUAUUGGGUCAGGGUCUCACUAUAUAAUUCAGGCUGGUCCUGAACUCAGUAUGUAGCCCAUGCUGGCCUCAAACUCGAAGUGAUCCUGUUGCCUCAGCCUCCCAAGUUUUUGAAUUAUAGGCAUUGCACCACCAUGCCCUCUGGUAAUUUUUUUUUUUUUUUUUUUACUGGUACAUGUUUUCAGAACAUAAUGAUCAUAUUUCAUAUUUCUAGUGGGGAAUUAGUAUAUAUAUAAAAUGUAUCUUAAUUCUUUUUUCAUCCACUUCUCCUCCUCUCCUUCCCACCAC
rnacentral:lncRNA from 1 species